CCGGUGAUGCCAUGAUGCCGCCAUCGCCUGCGCGACCGGGUCGUAGGCCGCCAGUCGGCGUAGGGGCUGCGGCCGCUGCGCGGGUCGCCGAAGCCGCGCAUCGCGGCAUACACCAGGCGCGGGUUCUCGGCGAUCAGCGCCUCGUAGCCAGGCCAGCCGUUCCAUCACGCCGCAGCGGUAGUUCUCGACCAGCACGUCGG
rnacentral:rRNA from 1 species